rnacentral:misc_RNA from 1 species
GAUGAAGAACGUAGCGAAAUGCGAUACGUAAUGUGAAUUGCAGAAUUCAGUGAAUCAUCGAAUCUUUGAACGCACAUUGCGCCCUUUGGUAUUCCUUAGGGCAUGCCUGUUCGAGCGUCAUUUGAAACCUCAAGCUCAGCUUGGUGUUGGGUGUCUGUCCCCGCCUCACCGCGGGGACUCGCCUCAAAAUCAUUGGCGGCCGGUACGUUGGCUUCGAGCGCAGCAGAAACGCGAACUCGAGGCCCGGCGGAUCGGCGACCAGAAGUCACUUCUUCACAGUUUGACCUCGGAUCAGGUAGGGAUACCCGCUGAACUUAAGCAUAUCAAUAAGCGGAGGA